AUUUAAGUAGUUUAUAAAAAAAAUAAUGGGCUGUGGAACCAUAGAAAAAUUUUUUUCUUAAAUA
rnacentral:tRNA from 1 species